CAAAGAGAACCACUUAAUCGGCAAGAAAAAAAAAGAGUCUCAUUCAGCAGUCUAAAUCAGAAAGAGGAAAGCUUCUCAGAUCUCUCCUUAGGCAAAAGCAGAAACGAGGAGUCCACCGAUCUGCUUACCAGGCAGCUACAAAGUACACUUUUCUCAGCAACCGGCAACUCUAGUCAGCGGGAGCGCGGAGCCAGGCGAGUCUCGGAGCAGCAACGAUAAGCGCACUAGAAAGCCCAGUUUCUUGCCUGCAGCCUUGGCGGCUUCUACACUCGAAAAUGGCGCCCAAACGCCAAACUCGAAAUGAAAUUCGUUAGAAAAGCGCAAAGCAUGCUGGGCGAAGAAAGGGGCAGGCUUCCCACAGGUUUGAAAGGAGGGGGAGAAAAACCUCCCACGCCGCCAUCUUGUUUUCCGUUAUUUAGCGGAAAGGCGGCUGAAAAUAUUUUCACGUUCUGUGUCCUCAGAGUUUUUGUUGUUGUUUUAAAAAUGUGACAAUAUUUGCGAGAAUAAAAUAUCAUUUUAUUUAAAAGGGGAACAGAGUUUGAGAGGGCGAAGCGGGUUGAGAGAGACGUAGCCCCUCUUGUGGGCGCGCGAGUUGGCGGCGUAACCUAGCAACGGACUGAAAAGGAAUGGAAUAGUGAAAAAACAAGGAACUGAGGGUUGUCGGGGUUUUUUUUUUUUUUUUAAAAAGAUGAUUAUAAAUAGAAAACGAAUGUUAAAAGUGCGCAUUACUGUAUGACAAGUUUGACAGGAUGGAUCCCUGACGUCAGGAGUGGCGUCACGUGCCUCGCCGGUCUGCGAGGUGGAAAGAAGACUUAAUAAAACCUCGCGGGGGAGGAGGAGGAAGGUUGCUUGGGGUUACGAAUAGGAAAUCUCGCGGGAAGUAGCUAUAGAGACCGAACGGCUUCCCUUUUACAGUUGACAACAGCGGAGGAGUAAAGAGCCGGGAGCACUUUCCUCUGUGACAAAUUAGGGAGUCACCUGGAAUACCUGGCCCAUAGAGGGACCCCUGCUUCAGGAAGCCUGCUUGGAGGAAGACCUGCUCUCUUCCCGGUGCCCCAGAUUUCACAAGUCUUUAGGGGGCCGCUGGGCUUCUAGGCUUAUUUGGAUGCAGCGGACGAACACGGCUCCCCCUCUGGAAUUGCUUCUUAACUAGAAUGACUUCGCUGCAAUUGUGCAAGUCUGCAGUGUUGAAUUUUCCGAAUCUGAGACUGAGAUGGGGUUUUAAGAGCUCUGAGACUGGGCUUCCUUGAUCUUUGUGCCUCAGCAAGAAAGGUGUAACCUGUGCAGCACAAGCAAGAUUCUCUCUGUGUGUUUUUUUUAAAUCAACACAAUCGAUGUGUUAACUGGAUUAUCAAUACUAUUAAAUUUAAUCACAAUGAGAUUAAAGACAUCUCUGUUGAAGGAACCCAAACAUAUCCUUUGUUUUGUAAACAGUUUUAUAAGUAGUUGACAAUAUUCUGACAUUGCUCAAUGUUUGUAGUGAGACGUGCAUUUUCUUUAUCAGAAAUAUAUCUUUCAUUUAUAUGAGCUAUCCAAAUGAAAAAGUAAUAGUUCCUUCACACACAUUAUUCUUACUGAGAUUUUUGCUCUUUUCUGGAAUAUUCAAAAUUAAAGAUCUCCACAAUGUUCACAAUA